GAUGAACGCUAGCGGCAGGCCUAACACAUGCAAGUCGAGGGGUAACAUAGAAAAGCUUGCUUUUUUGAUGACGACCGGCGCACGGGUGCGUAACGCGUAUACAAUCUGCCUUAUACUGGGGUAUAGCCUUUAGAAAUGAAGAUUAAUCCCCCAUAGUCUCUAGCUAUGGCAUCAUAGCUAGAGUAAAGGUUACGGUAUAAGAUGAGUAUGCGUUCUAUUAGUUUGUUGGUGAGGUAACGGCUCACCAAGACUACGAUAGAUAGGGGCCCUGAGAGGGGGAUCCCCCACACUGGUACUGAGACACGGACCAGACUCCUACGGGAGGCAGCAGUGAGGAAUAUUGGACAAUGGAGGCAACUCUGAUCCAGCCAUGCCGCGUGCAGG
rnacentral:rRNA from 1 species